CUGCGAUAAGCGCCGGUAAGGUGAUAUGAACCGUUAUAACCGGCGAUACCCGAAUGGGGAAACCCAGUGUGAUUCGUCACACUAUCAUUAACUGAAUCCAUAGGUUAAUGAGGCGAACCGGGGGAACUGAAACAUCUAAGUACCCCGAGGAAAAGAAAUCAACCGAGAUUCCCCCAGUAGCGGCGAGCGAACGGGGAGGAGCCCAGAGCCUGAAUCAGCAUGUGUGUUAGUGGAAGCGUCUGGAAAGGCGCGCGAUACAGGGUGACAGCCCCGUACACAAAAGCGCAUGUGCUGUGAGCUCGAUGAGUAGGGCGGGACACGUGGUAUCCUGUCUGAAUAUGGGGGGACCAUCCUCCAAGGCUAAAUACUCCUGACUGACCGAUAGUGAACCAGUACCGUGAGGGAAAGGCGAAAAGAACCCCGGCGAGGGGAGUGAAAAAGAACCUGAAACCGUGU
rnacentral:rRNA from 1 species